rnacentral:rRNA from 1 species
UACGGAGGGUGCGAGCGUUGUCCGGAAUCACUGGGCGUAAAGGGCGCGUAGGCGGCGCGGGAAGUCGGCGGUGAAAGCCCGGAGCUCAACUCCGGGUCGGCCGUUGAUACUCCCGUGCUCGAGUCGACUAGAGGCCAAUGGAAUUCCGGGUGUAGCGGUGGAAUGCGUAGAGAUCCGGAAGAACACCGGUGGCGAAGGCGGUUGGCUGGGGUCGAACUGACGCUGAUGCGCGACAGCGUGGGGAGCAAACAGG